rnacentral:tRNA from 1 species
GGGAAUAGCUCAGUUGGUAGAGCACGACCUUGCCAAGGUUGGGGUCGCGAGUUCGAAUCUCGUUUCCC